GACGUAGGGCGCGAGCGUUGUCCGGAUUUAUUGGGCGUAAAGAGCUCGUAGGCGGUUCGUCGCGUCGGCUGUGAAAACCUGAGGCUCAACCUCAGGCCUGCAGUCGAUACGGGCGGACUUGAGUACUGCAGGGGAGACUGGAAGUUCCUGGUGUAGCGGUGAAAUGCGCAGAUAUCAGGAGGAACACCGGUGGCGAAGGCGACUUACUGGACACAUAUUGACGCUGAGGUGCGAAAGCGUGGGGAGCAAACAGG
rnacentral:rRNA from 1 species